UACGUAGGGGGCAAGCGUUGUCCGGAUUUAUUGGGCGUAAAGAGCGUGUAGGCGGCCAGGCAGGUCCGUUGUGAAAACUCGAGGCUCAACCUCGAGACGCCGAUGGAAACCGUCUGGCUAGAGUCCGGAAGAGGAGAGUGGAAUUCCUGGUGUAGCGGUGAAAUGCGCAGAUAUCAGGAAGAACACCCGUGGCUAAGGCGGCUCUCUAGUACGGUACUGACGCUGAGACGCGAAAGCGUGGGGAGCGAACAGG
rnacentral:rRNA from 1 species